AACGCAUAUGGCGCCCCCUGGCAUCCCCACGGGGCAUGCCUGUUUGAGAAUCAUUUUCACCGUCUGCUUCACUCCCCGUGAGCAGGACCUGGGCCUUCAUCACUGAUCGCCUCGAAUGCGCACGAUUGUGUCGUGACGGGAUGCAUGCAUCGCUGGUCGACCAAUCAUCGCUUUGUCAAUGAUCUCAAAUCAGGCAGGACCACCCGCUGAACUUAA
rnacentral:misc_RNA from 1 species